GUGGUUGUGGUGGUGUUUGGUGUGGUUGAAAUGGUUGUACGGGGUGUUGGUAGUGAUGAUGAACGUGACUGGCUUGUGGUAAAGGUGGUUGUGGUUGUUGGGGAUGGUGGUGGUUGUGUAACAGUGGUGGAGGUAGCGGACGUAACGGUGUUGUGGUUGUUGGGUGUGGUUGAGAGGUUGGGGUGGUGAUGUGGUGGUGGUGGUAGUUGGGAGUGGUGGUGUGGUGGUGGUGGUGGUGAUGUUACGGUUGUCAGGGUUUAUAGGGAGAUGGUCGUGUGUGUGUGUGUGUGUGUGUGUGUGUGUGUGUGUGUGUACUCCUGUAAUCAGCAAACUGUAGUCACUCGUUCGCUUGUUUCACCUCCCUGCUUCAGGCCUUCCUUCUCUCCCCUCCCCUCCCUUCCCGCUCCCUUCCUCUCCUGCCUGCCGCCCUCUCCCCUCUCUUCCUCGCCUGCUCUCCCCUGCUCCUCGUGUCCCAGGUAACCCAUGAACUACCCCUAACAAUUGUGAUGAAGAACCAGAAGUGGGCUGUAGGUGACGAGAUAACUACUCCAGGUCAUCGCGGAAGUGGCGAGGUGACCCCAUACAACUCCACAAGGUCGUGGAGGACGCCAGGCAUAGUCCUGCACACUCCAGAAAUUCAUAUCAACACCACCUUGACUCCUUCUGCUAGCUGGCGAAGGCCACGUGGUCACCUACACUCAGCCAUCCACCUCACCUGGACACCCACCUGCCCCGGACAUCAUCCAGCCGCAAGAACCCAGAUAAGCACUUCCGGGGUCCUUGGUUUUGAUUAGCUAGCUAGUUUAGUUAGGGGUCACUUGCUGUAGAUAGGAACCCUCCUCGGUCUUCUUUUUUUUUUUUUUUUUUUUUUUUUUUUUGGUGUAACGCUGUGCUCCACGUGAGUGAUAAACAUUGUUUAUCUUUUAUUUUUUUUUCCUGAAGACCAGUUGAUGUGGUUAUCUUGGAGGUUAACGGAGAAGAGUACUUUACACCCGUGUUUUUAUUUAUUUUCUUGUCACUUUUUGUUUUUUGUUGAUUGCUAUUUAUUUAUUUAUUUUUAUUGAAAAAUGAGUGUGAAUGCAGCACAAUAUAUAAAGGUGUGCAUUCCAGAGUGAAAGGAAGGCGUGCACAGGCUAGAGUGCACAGGAUGCAGUGCCUUUUUUAUCACCAGACCUUGAUUGAUUGAAGCAAAUGAAAACUUUGGUAUGAAUUGUUCUCUUUCCAAGGGUUGAGGAGAACAUGGUCGUGGUUCAAGUGAAGCCACUACAGCCACUGCCUGACAAGUCUUCCACACUGAUAGACAGUGGCAGCAAACACACAAGGGAGGAUGGUGUGGUGGACAAGAGGAUGCAGGGAGACGGCAGACAGAAUGGAAGCUACAGAUGAAAGAAGAGCAGGUCAAGCCAUGGCAGCAGACAGACAGACAGAGAUAGAUUGGAUCAGAAAGUAUUAUUAUUUAGUGAGGUAAGGAACUGUACAGCCCUUCACAGUGCUGACUACUUGAUAGCAGAGGUGGUUCAUGUUGGUUCAGUAUUUCAGGAUUUGG